UGGGGGAUUCCUCUCCCCUCUUGAAGUUAGGGGAAGGGGAAUGCCCAAUUCAGAGAGACAUGGGGGCAAGAAGGAUGGGGGUGGAGGGAGUUCUGGGGCCAUGCAUCCAUCAUCUCUGGGUGGUGGUGGCAGCUCUAAUAGCAGAGAGCGGCAUAGACUUGUGUCCAAACACAAGAGGCACAAGUCCAAGCACUCCAAAGAUCUAGGCUCUCUGGCCCCUGAAGCAGCCCCUCUGAGCACCAUGAUCAAGCCCCUGGUGGAGUACGACGACAUCAGCUCUGAUUCAGACACCUUCUCUGAUGACAUGGCCUUCAAGCUAGAUAGAAGAGAUAAUGAUGAUCGUCGGGGUACUGAUAGGAGUGACCGGCUCCACAAACAUCGCCAUCAUCAGCACAGGCGAAUCAGAGAGCUACUGAAAACCAAGCAGAUAGAGAAGGAGAAGAAGGUGGAAAAAAACCAAGAAGUCUCCAGCAAGUCAGUGUCCACAAAGGACCGAGUUUCUGGGACUUCAAAACGACUGAAUGAAGAGAAUGAUGACUACGGGAAGGCACUAGUAUCUAAGAGUAGCAGUAACAAGGAAUCUAGGUCAGCCAAAUUCCAUAAGGAGAAGACUCGAAAAGAACGAGAGUUAAAGUCUGGACACAAAGAUCGUUCUAAAAGUCAUCGGAAAAGAGACCCACCCAAAAGCUACAAAUCAAUAGAUAGUCCCAAACGCAGAUCCAGGAGCCCUCACCGAAAAUGGUCUGACAGCCCUAAGCAGGAUGACAGCCCUUCUGGAGCAUCAUACAGCCAGGAAUAUGAUGUUAGUCCUCCAAGGUCUCAUACCUCCAGCAACUAUGACUCCUACAAGAAGAGCCCAGGUGGGUCCUCACGAAGACAGUCAAUUAGUCCACCUUAUAGAGAACCAUCGGCCUACCAGUCCAGCAUUCGUUCACCCAGUCCAUACAGUAGGCGGCAGAGGUCAGUGAGUCCAUACAACAGGAGGCGUUCAUCCAGCUAUGAGAGAGGGAGUGGUUCAUAUGGUGGUCGAUCACCCAGUCCUUAUAGCCGAAGACGCUCAAGCAGCCCAUUUGUGACCAAGCGCUCUGUGAGUCGGAGUCCUCUUCCCAGGAAAUCAGUGAAGUCUAGAAGUAGAAGUCCUGUAUAUUCUAGACAUUCAUCUUCCCACAGCAAAAAGAAGCGAUCUGGUUCACGAAGUAGACAUUCUAGUAUCUCACCUACCAGGCUCCCCUUAAACUCCAGCCUGGGAGCUGAGCUCAGCAGAAAGAAGAAGGAAAGAGCAGCUGCAGCAGCUGCUGCAAAAGUAGAUGGAAAAGAAGUGAAGGGGUCACCUAUAAUUUUGGCUAAAAAGGAAAAUAUCUCAGGAGAGACUAAAGAGUCAAGUCUUGAGUCUAAAAAGUUAUCUAGAGUUUUAAAAUCUGAAAAAUCUGCCUCAGAUACCGAACUGGUAAACUUAACACAUCUGAAUACAGAGAUUAAAACUUCUCUAGAUCCUGGAAAAAUAAAAUUGGAUGAGAACUCCGAGAAGAAGCAUCUUGUUUCUACUAAAGACUUGAAAUCACAGGGAUUAAAGGACUCUAAACCCAUAGUAUUGAAAGAAGAGAUUGUGGCUCCAAAGGAAUCAGAGAUAAUGGAAAAAGAGGCUCUUCCGCCUCUCCCCACAAUUACUUCUCCACCCCCUCUACCAACUACCACCCCUCCACCUCAGGCGCCUCCCCUGCCACCUUUGCCUCCAUUACCUGCUAUUCCACAUCAACCACCUUUGCCACCUCUCCAACCAGCUUUUAGUCAGGUCUCUAAUUCUGUCACCCCAACUUUGUCAUCUUCUGCUCACCCAAGGACAUCUGCUCUAUCCUCUCAGGCAAACUCUCAGCCCCUUGUACAGGUUUCUGUGAAGACACAGGUGUCUUUGACAGCUGCUAUUCCACACCUGAAAACUUCAACUUUGCCUCCUCUGCCGCUUCCACCCUUACUUCUUGGAGAGGACGACUUGGAUAGUCCGAAGGAGAGUCUUCCUCCAAAACCUAUGAAGAAGGAGAAGGAACAAAGAACUCGACAUUUGCUCAUGGACCUUCCUCUUCCUCCAGAGCUCCCCGGUGGUGAUCCAUCUCCCCCAGAUUCUCCAGAACCAAAGGCUGUCACCCCCCCUCAGCAACCAUAUAAGAAGAGACCAAAAAUCUGUUGCCCACGUUAUGGGGAAAGGAGACAAACAGAAAGUGAUUGGGGCAAGCGCUGCGUGGACAAGUUUGACAUAAUUGGAAUUAUUGGGGAAGGAACAUAUGGACAAGUAUACAAAGCCAAGGACAAAGACACAGGAGAGCUAGUAGCCCUAAAGAAGGUGCGACUAGACAAUGAGAAAGAGGGCUUCCCAAUCACAGCCAUUCGUGAGAUCAAAAUUCUUCGACAGCUGAUCCACCGGAGUGUUGUUAAUAUGAAGGAAAUUGUCACAGAUAAACAAGAUGCACUGGAUUUCAAGAAGGACAAAGGUGCCUUUUACCUUGUAUUUGAAUACAUGGACCAUGACUUAAUGGGGCUGCUAGAGUCUGGAUUAGUACAUUUUUCUGAGGACCACAUCAAGUCUUUCAUGAAACAGCUAAUGGAAGGGUUGGAUUAUUGUCACAAAAAGAACUUCCUGCAUCGGGAUAUUAAAUGUUCCAACAUUUUGCUGAACAACAGUGGACAGAUCAAGCUGGCAGAUUUUGGACUUGCUCGACUCUAUAGCUCUGAAGAGAGUCGUCCUUACACAAAUAAAGUCAUUACGCUAUGGUAUCGACCACCAGAACUGCUGCUAGGAGAGGAGCGCUACACGCCAGCCAUUGAUGUUUGGAGUUGUGGUUGUAUCCUUGGGGAACUGUUUACAAAGAAGCCUAUUUUUCAAGCUAAUCUGGAACUGGCUCAGCUUGAACUAAUCAGUCGGCUCUGCGGCAGCCCUUGUCCAGCUGUGUGGCCUGAUGUUAUUAAGCUACCUUAUUUCAACACAAUGAAACCGAAAAAGCAGUACCGUAGGCGUCUACGUGAGGAAUUCUCUUUUAUUCCUUUGGCUGCUCUAGACUUGCUCGACCACAUGCUGACACUGGAUCCUAACAAGCGCUGCACUGCUGAGCAGGCCCUGCAGAGUGACUUUCUUAGAGACGUCGAGCUCAGCAAAAUGGCUCCUCCAGACCUCCCUCAUUGGCAGGAUUGCCACGAACUAUGGAGCAAGAAACGACGGCGACAGAGGCAAAGUGGCAUUGUGGUGGAGGAACCGCCUCUGUCCAAAACCUCUCGAAAAGAAACUACCUCAGGAGCAAAUGUGGAGCCUGUGAAGAACAACAGCCCAGCACCACCCCAGCCUGCUCCUGUCAAGGUGGAACCUGGGGCUGGGGAUGCAAUAGGCCUUGGUGACAUCACACAGCAGCUGAAUCAAAGUGAACUGGCAGUAUUAUUGAACCUGCUGCAGAGCCAGACUGACCUGAGCAUCCCUCAGAUGGCACAGCUGCUCAAUGUCCAUUCCAACCCAGAGAUGCAACAGCAGCUAGAGGCCCUGAACCAGUCCAUCAAUGCUCUCAAUGAAGCCACUUCCCAGCAUCAGGACUCCGAGCAUGUGGCCCCAGAGGAGACUGUGAAGGAGCCCCCCCCUGCCAUGGUAGCCCAACCCUCAGCAGAGCAGACAACCCCUGAAGCAUCUAGCACACCAGGUGACGUACAGAAUGUGUUGGCAGUCCUCCUAAGUCAGCUGAUGAAAACCCAGGAACCAACAGGCAGCCUCGAGGAAAGCAAUGGAGAAAAGAGCAGUGGGCCACAGGGACCCCGAAGAACUCCCACAAUACCACAGGAGGAGGCAGCAGAACAAGUUAAUAGCAGGAAGGGAGGCUCCUGAGGAAUGGGCACCAUGCCUACAAUAAUCUCACACUUAGAGCCUUGGCAAACCUCUUGGCAUCCUUCUAGAAGUUUUUGGGAUUCUGAAAUCAGAUCUUUGGAGAAAGAGAUGAUGUCACCCCGGUUUGGUCAUUAAUCCUGGUGCCACAGAUACCUACUAGAUCCUGAGACUUCACCAAACUGCCAGAGGGGCCCAUGAAACAAAGAAGGUGAACAACCACUGCCUUAGACACCAUCCCUGCAGAGGCAUCAUACAUAGUAUAAGAGAAAGGACACUGGGCUAGGAGUUUGAAGACUUGGAGUCUUAUCCCCAUUCUUUCACUUACUGAAGGUUUUGAUGAAGACCCAGCACAUCCUGGGUGCUCUGUUCUCCAGCUGAGGAAUGGGGCACUUCUGCCUGUGGCCAUUCCUAGAAAUCCAGAGUAGCUUCAGGGUGGAGAGAAGAACAGACCAGCCACUUCGUAUCUGUGCACAAAAACAGGGCUGAUCCUCACCCAUCUCCUUACCAUCUCAUCUCUUCCUGGCAGCAGACAGGCUUGGCUUGGCAGGAUCACAAACCUCGGGUGGGCCUGUUGGGAGGUUCCAGAAUAAAGUUCAGCCCCAAACCAACACCAGACUUGAUGUUAGAUAUCAAGAUAGUGCUGCUGAGAAACAAGGUGGGAUCAGGGAAGGAAUAAAGAGGCUUAGCUUCAGGAAAGCAUUGAAGCCACACUCCUGAGUGCCCCAUUCAGUGCUCUCUUCCCCCCCCUCCAAUUCUCUUGAUUCUUCCACCCCCACUCCUACCCAGUGACCAAAUUCUCUUUGACCCAUCCUAUCCUGGCUACUUCACACACACACACACACACACACACACCACACACACACACCCAACCCGGGACACAGACAAGUUGUCAUCUGUCCCUCAUCUUUUCUAUUUCUUUUCCCCUCAAACACAUGCCCCUAAGAUCUCUACACAGAACUCCCAGCUUCUCCCUCCCCUUAUCUAAGGGAACUCCAGCCUAAAGGGGUCUGUCUGUUCUCGUUCUCAGAAAGAUGCCUAGGACAAUGAGUGGUCUGGCUGCUGGCAUGCCUUGAACUGGGACUCCAAAGAGAGAACUGGGGCAGAGGGCAAGCCCCUAGGAUGGAGGUGGGAGGGCUAGUGUCACUGCUGGGUUGAGUACCGAGUGUCUGAGUGUAUGCCCAUGCGUUGGGGCGCACUGGUUUAUUAGUGUUAUUUCAGCAUUGUGAUGCAGAGAGAGUAAGUGUAACAGCUGCUCCUAGCUCGCAGUGUUUAUUGUUACCUAGAGACAACCUCCUGGCUUUUUCCCAGUUCCCCACCACCACCCCAAACACCCCCCCCAAGUCCUGCUCUCCCCACACUCUGAUGGGAAAUUUAUAGCUUGCCCAUACCAUACCUUUAACCCUCUCUUGCCUGUAGAGGAUGGCUAAGGUGAGCAGUAGGAACACUUGAGUGGAAUGAGAUAGGAUGCAGUAAGGACACCCUCUUAAUUCUCCCUUCUUCAUGCUGUUUCCAGCCUUUGGAAAGCCCAAGUGCUUUCCAUUCUCAUAGGCUUUCACAGUGGUCAAUCAGGAGUUUUUUCAGUAACUUCCUUAGCUCCUUUGGAAGCUAGAUGGCCAAAGGACCUGGGUGUCCUCCCCACAAGGUUAUUCACCUCCCUGGGAAAUAUCUAACAACCUGAAUUUGGCUGACUGGGUUUAACAUUGGGCCCAAGAGGGGAGCCUGGAAAGGGUGCAGUUAGAACUGGAGGGAUGAACAGAGACUGGUAUGCCCAGCCAGACACAUCUAAAGAAUAGAAAAGGCUAUGAGUUAAAUUUGGUUAAACUUCACACUAAAAUGAUUACAGAGACAUCAUUUUAACCCAAACCCGAAGGUCCCGUGGCCAAAGGGAGGGGGUAGGCUCAUGGAGUGCCAACUAGACAUGCAGAGCUGAAUGGGUAAUGCCUUCUGCCAAGCAUGGCAGAUAAGACUGAUCCUUUCUGUUCUCAUACUCCUUCCAAGUCCAAUGUCAGGCCUGGGGAUGACCAAAUAGAAACAGUGAAGAGAGAGUUCAUCAUCAACUAUGUCUUUUAGGUCAGGGGAAAGGGUGUGUUCCCUCCUGCAUAUCCCUCUCGGUCCAUCAUCUCCUGGGGGCCCGUCAUCUCUGAUCUAUUUCUAACAGAUUUUGUGGUGGUUUCUUAUUCUCUUUGCAAGCACAGGGGCCCAGUAAGCCUUGGAGGUGGCCUCCCCAGAAAGAAGGAAGGAGAAGCCAUUCCUCUUAAUACUGAGUUCUGGUAUCUUGAUAGAGGUCAUGACCUGCCUUCUAUCCCCUACCUCCUCUAAGAACAGGAAAUACUGUAAGAUUGCAGCAAGAUAGGUAGAUGUUGUGUGGCUAGCUAGCUAGCAAAUUAUUUAUAUAGUACUUUAAAGUUUGCAAAACACUUAUAAAUAUUAUCUCAUUUUAUCAUCACAACAAACUUGGGAGGUAAGUGCCAUUGUUUUCCCUAUUUUAAAGGCCAAGAAACUAAGGUGAACAGAGGAUAAGUGACUUGUCCGGGGUUACACAACUAACCAGUAUCUGAGGCUGGAUUUGAACUCAGGUCUUCCUGGCUCCAAGUCCAUUGUUUUAUCUGCUGUGCCACCUAGCUGCCUCUGAUUCCCUCAAGCAGUUAUGAGAUGUAGGAAUGGGAGACUGAUGGAAUUCUAUGACUUCCCUUCUCUAGAUUCUUCUCUAUCUGGGAUAGGCUAGGUAUAGAAGUACCUGGAUAGAGAUGAGCUUUCCAGAGCCUGCCCAAACCCACACAGCUCCCAUACAAUAGUGUGGUUUCCUUUGGUCACUUUCAGAGCUGCCUAGAAGGUGGAGCAGCCCAGUGGGUCUGUGAUUUUAGUAGCUUAGAAUCUCACCACCUACCCCAGGCUACAUUCUCCCUACUAAGGGCGGUGUCUUGGGCACCCUAUUCACACACACCCAAAAGAAUCUUAUCCUUUCCCAUACCUCCAGACAAAUCUGUCCUAUAAAGGAUGUAAGACAAGAUAGAAGACACAAAUUUCCCCAUAUGAUUAGGGUGAAAGGGAGAUGAAUUUGUAAGCACAAGUGAAAUAAGAGAGUAGCAUAGGUCAAGAUAGAAUCCCUUUGGGCCCUCCAUGCAAAGGUAGGCUUGGAGUAGGGGCAAAAGAUAAUUGGAAACAACUAGAAAUGUGGAGGAAAGCCUUUUUGCUCUUUUCUAGGGAAGAAAAUAGGAAGUCGUCCUUGGGUAUUCAACUCUACUGUGAUCCAGAAGCGGGUCUAAGAUAAGAGGAGCUCUUUGCUAAGGAGAAAGGAAGGAGCUGUUGCCUAAGGUUGAGGAUUCUUCUUCAUUUCUACAUGACAAAGACCACCUCUUCCCCGCUGCCCCCAGGAAUCCUAAGAGAAGUCAAGAUGUUGGAAAUGAGGGAGCAAAGCUAUGCUUGAAGAAUCAAAUGGUCAUUGGGCCACCAUCUUUCUGCAGAGAAGAUAAAAGAAUGCUCCAUUUUUCAGUCCUCUGAAGUCACAGUUGGGUCAUUGCAGUCAUCAGAGUCUGGAUAUCUUUCACCAUUGUUUUCCUUGACUUCAUUGUGGUCUCGGGGUAGAUUGCUGCUCCCGGUUCAUCAGUUCCUACAAGCCUUCACAAAUUUUUCUGAAUUCUUCAUUUUUGUAAUUGUCUUUUUUUAUUUUUGUCUGAACCCAUGAUUUUCAUUGGUAAAAGGAAUUCCCAGGGAGGAAACUCCCUGUACCACUAA